rnacentral:ncRNA from 2 species
UAUCGUAUGCGCGCGUCUGGUGCCGUGCCUGCGUUCGCUUGCACGGUUAAACGGGAAACAGGGAAGCGCGUCUUUUGUAUGGCACGUGUCGUGCGUCAAAUGAGGUGCUCAGCCUGUGCUGUCCCCGCAACGGUCACGCGGCGAGCGGAAGGAACAACUUCCGCGCAGUGCGUUCAAGGCCACUGCCUGCAUCAUGCAAGUGGGAAGGCGAACGCGAUGAGCCGCCAGCCCGGAUACCGGCCAGAUGCAGGGGGGCGAC